rnacentral:rRNA from 1 species
GACGAACGCUGGCGGCGUGCCUAACACAUGCAAGUCGAGCGAAUGAAGUUCCUUCGGGAAUGGAUUUAGCGGCGGACGGGUGAGUAACACGUGGGCAACCUGCCUCAUAGAGGGGAAUAGCCUUCCGAAAGGGAGAUUAAUACCGCAUAAGAUUGUAGUAUCGCAUGAUACAGCAAUUAAAGGAGCAAUCCGCUAUGAGAUGGGCCCGCGGCGCAUUAGUUAGUUGGUGAGGUAACGGCUCACCAAGGCGACGAUGCGUAGCCGACCUGAGAGGGUGAUCGGCCACAUUGGGACUGAGACACAGCCCAGACUCCUACGGGAGGCAGCAGUGGGGAAUAUAGCACAAUGGGGGAAACCCUGAUGCAGCAACGCCGCGUGAGUGAUGACGGCCUUCGGGUUGUAAAGCUCUGUCUUCAGGGACGAUAAUGACGGUACCUGAGGAGGAAGCCACGGCUAACUACGUG